rnacentral:rRNA from 1 species
UUUAAUUGAAGAGUUUGAUCAUGGCUCAGAUUGAACGCUGGCGGCAGGCCUAACACAUGCAAGUCGAGCGGUAACAGAAAGUAGCUUGCUACUUUGCUGA